CUUAUAGCAGCAUGCUGAAACACCAGUUCUCAUACAAUUGCCAAAGUUAAGCAACAUCAUGCCUGGUCAGUACCUAGAUGAGUGACACUUGGGAAUACCAGGUGUUGGAAG